rnacentral:RNase_P_RNA from 1 species
UCAGCCGGCCGGGCGGCCGCUUCGGCUCACGCCGGGGAGGAAAGUCCGGGCUCCAUUGAGACACGGUGCCGGAUAACGUCCGGCGAGGCCUUGCGCCUCAGGGAAAGUGCCACAGAAAGCAGACCGCCGCCGGGUUCGCCCGGCGGUCAGGGUGAAAGGGUGCGGUAAGAGCGCACCGCGGACGCGGCGACGCGGACGGCACGGCAAACCCCACCGGGAGCAAGAUCGAAUAGGGGCGACAGCGGCUUGCCGCAGGCCUGUCUCAGGGCCCGUCGCCCGGGUUGAUUGCUCGAGGCGGCCGGCAACGGCCGUCCCAGAGGAAUGGCCGCCACGGCCGGACCGCAAGGUCCGGCCCAUACAGAACCCGGCUUACAGGCCGGCUGACCCU